rnacentral:lncRNA from 1 species
GAAACAUUCAUGGAUGCUGGUGAAUUGGGUCAUUGGAAACCCUGCCCCUCCUUGGGGCCAUUUGCCCAAGGGCUCACAGCCGUACCACCAGAACCAGAGGCAUUCUGAUGGCCAAGAAGGGUCAUCACGAUCAUGGUGAAGAUGUGUCUCUUUUUGGCUGGAAAAGAGGAACAACAAGGCUCCCCAACAUCAGAACAGUGCAUCCCCAGGUCCAGCCCUCCGCUGGUGGGAGUCAGCACAGGCGUCACCAGGGCUGCGAGAAGAGCUCCG